GGAAGUUAGGGCAAAGGCGGCGGAAAGAGUAGUGGAGAGAAAGGGGAAAAGUAAUGCUGGAAUAAAUGGACGUGGAGGGACAGGCGUGAACAGAAAAGACAGGAAGUGGAGGUGGGAAAGUGGAUACCGAAAAAAAUUUUUGAUUUGAACAGGACAUGUUUAAAACUGCAUAAGGGGAGAAUGGUGUGCAUAAAUUAUGCACUCUCUUAUGCAGGUUUUGGUGGAAGGUAAAGAGUG
rnacentral:misc_RNA from 1 species